rnacentral:rRNA from 1 species
UGGGGAAUCUUGCACAAUGGGCGAAAGCCUGAUGCAGCAACGCCGCGUGCGGGAAGACAGCCCUAGGGUUGUAAACCGCUUUCAGCAGGGAAGAAACUGACGGUACCUGCAGAAGAAGAUGCGGCCAACUACGUGCCAGCAGCCGCGGUGACACGUAGGCAUCAAGCGUUAUCCGGAUUUAUUGGGCGUAAAGAGCUCGUAGGCGGUUCGGUAAGUCGGGUGUGAAAAUCUCUGGGCUCAACCCAGAGAGGCCACUCGAUACUGCUGUGACUAGAGUGCGGUAGGGGAGCGGGGAAUUCCUGGUGUAGCGGUGAAAUGCGCAGAUAUCAGGAGGAACACCAGUGGCGAAGGCGCCGCUCUGGGCCGUAACUGACGCUGAGGAGCGAAA